CCUGCUGCCUGGAAACAAAUCAUCCCAGAUCUGAACAGACAGAGCACACACUUCUUUUAUAGAAGAGAAGGAUGUAUUCCAGGGUGUCCUUCAAGAGAGAGCAAAUUGGUUCCUCUAUUUAUGUGUCCUAGUUUAUUUCAGAAUCUUCUCAGACUAAGGGUGAUUAAAUGAUAAAGGAAAAUGUGUGCAUGGCAUCCAGGCACUCGCUAAAACCUGCAUGGAAGGUGAGAUGAGCCUAUUUUCUGAUUAUGAUCAUUUGUUAAGAAAGUAUUUGAA
rnacentral:lncRNA from 1 species